UCUGGACGCUCCCGAAGAUGCUCGUCCUCUUCCUCCUCCUCGUCUUCCUCAUCCUCAUCCUCCAGUUCCCGAGGCCGGUCGCGGUCCCCGUCCCCGCACCGGAGAAGUGACCGGAGGUGGCGGUACAGCGCGUACCGUUCACAGGACCAUUACCAAAGGCAGAGGGUGCUGCAGAAGGAGCGUGCAAUAG